UCAGUCGACUCCUACGGGGAGGCAGCAGUGAGGAAUAUUGGGUCAAUGGGCGCAAGCCUGAACCAGCCAUGCCGCGUGCAGGAAGACUGCCCUAUGGGUUGUAAACUGCUUUAUACAGGAAGAAACACUCCCUCGUGAGGGAGCUUGACGGUACUGUAAGAAUAAGGAUCGGCGUAACUCCGUGCCAGCAGCCGCGGUAAUACGGAGGAUCCAAGCGUUAUCCGGAAUCAUUGGUUUAAAGGGUCCGUAGGUGGAUUAGUAAGUCAGAGGUGAAAUCCUGCAGCUCAACUGUAGAACUGCCUUUGAUACUGCUAGUCUUGAGUCAUUAUGAAGUGGUUAGAAUGUGUAGUGUAGCGGUGAAAUGCAUAGAUAUUACACAGAAUACCGAUUGCGAAGGCAGAUCACUAAUAAUGUACUGACACUGAUGGACGAAAGCGUGGGGAGCGAACAGGAUUAGAUACCCUGGUAG
rnacentral:rRNA from 1 species